UACGUAGGGUGCAAGCGUUGUCCGGAAUUAUUGGGCGUAAAGAGCGUGUAGGCGGCCCGACCAGUCCGCUGUGAAAGUCCAGGGCUCAACCCUGGAAUGCCGGUGGAUACUGUCGGGCUAGAGUCCGGAAGGGGCGAGUGGAAUUCCUGGUGUAGCGGUGAAAUGCGCAGAUAUCAGGAGGAACACCGAUGGCGAAGGCAGCUCGCUGGGACGUGACUGACGCUGAGACGCGAAAGCGUGGGGAGCGAACAGG
rnacentral:rRNA from 1 species